GCUGGUCAAUUCGAGUUGAAGUGAGAUGCAAAUUGCGUUAUUAUCUUCAGAUGAUUUGGAACUAUUUCGACUAUCCUAGGAGCUCACUGAUAUGAGGGUGGCGCACAUUAAAAUUCCCUAUCUCAGUUUUGGCCUUUCCCAAGCCGAUGAACCCUUUGGCUCGGCAACGGUAUAAUAUACCGUGUGGAAAUUUUGGGCGCUAUCACUAUUAUACCGAUCCUGGUGAUAGGCAGAUAUUUGGAAAAAGCCCCCUAAUUUCCAAGGGGCUUUGGAAUUAUUUGAUAAUAAGUGUAUUCUCGGCUGAAUAGCUGGGUUAUAAAUUUUGCUGAUCUGGCCUGGGGUUUUGGAUAUUCACACAAUGAGAUAACUAUGGGGGACAAAGCAAGCAUUCUCGCAAAUUGAA
rnacentral:sRNA from 2 species